ensembl:lncRNA
CGGGGCUAGUCUGCAGGUGCCUGCAAGUAAUGACCUCUAAAUGACCUCUGAAUGACCGUGCUGAAUCUUCUCAGUGAUGACCACUGGACUGUCAGAAUCCUGCAGACUCUCACAGUCUGACUGUCAGAAACUCACCACUGCUUAUCGACACAUUGCCGCUGGGAGAAACUGUGUGUGUGUGUGUGUGUGUGUGUGUGUGUGUAAAAGAGAGUCUUAGAGAGUGUGAGUGGGUCCAACUAGUUAAACAGUGGUGAAGAUGGUUAAAGAUUGGUCACAAUAUUUUACCAAAGCUAUUUGUAUUGCCAGAAAAUCUGUACGCCAUGAUCAUCAAGACACACACACACAGGAAAAUUAAUCUGGUUGUGGUUAAGGGUUUAUAAGGAGCCUCACAGCAAAUAAGAAAAACAAUGAAUUGCUUGAGUGCGUAGUUGCAUUUUGCAGUGUUCUGAAAUGAUCCUUAAGGUCAAGACAGUAGGUUGUAAUCAGCAGGAUUUUUUGCUGGACUUCUUUUGCAUAACUCUGUCCUAAAUUAUUAAACAUUUCCCUGUUGGUAUGGUUUUCAUCGUUAUAGGAAAAAUCCAAACAUAGUACUUGGUGCUUUACGGACUGUUAUAAUGUACUCGAUGCAUGAUACAGUGGUGUUUGAAAGUUUACACAAAGAGAACCCAAUUAAACAAAUGAGACAAAAAUAUCUUUGGUCGUUUAUUUAUUGAGGAAAAUGAUCCAAUAUUACAUAUCUGUGACCGGCAAACGGUGUGAACCUCUAAGGUUAGCAGUUAAUUUGAAGAAGAAAUUAGAGUCAAGUGUUUUGAAUUAAUGGGAUGACGAUCAGGUGUGAGUGAGCGCCCUGUUUCAUUUAAAGAACAGAUAUCUAUCAAAAGAAUUUAGACUCCACCAAUCUACAGUCAGACAGAUUGUGUACAAAAGGAGGAAAGUCAAGACCAUUACCCCCCCCCCCCCCCACCACCCCCGCUUUUUCUUUUAUUUUAAUCCAGUAAAUUACAUUCAGCAGUAUGACACCAACUCCUAUUCAUACAGAAUUUGUAUUUGUAUAUUAGUGUAAUCUUCUUUCACAACGGCUGCACAUGGCCAGGUAAGAUCAUUUAUUUUAACGAUGCUCAAUUCCAGAUAUUAGAAUAUUCUGAUAUGUAUAUCUACAUAUUACAGAUAUGCAUCUGUAUUUUAUGCCUAUAUUCAUUCAGUAGCCUGAGUAUAAUAACAGCUUGGGGUGGACUACAGUAUAUUCUGAAAACCCCAGUAUGUUUGCUUUAGAUGGUUGGUUAGAUGGAUGGAUAGAUGGAUGGAUGCAUGUAAGGAUGGAUGCAUGCAUGUACGCAUACAUGUUAGAUAGAUGGAUGGAUGGGUGGAUGGUUAGACGGAUGGGGGUUAGCUAGAUGGAUGGUCAGAUGAAUGGAUGGAUGC